rnacentral:rRNA from 1 species
AACGAACGCUGGCGGCAUGCCUAACACAUGCAAGUCGAACGAUGCCUUCGGGCAUAGUGGCGCACGGGUGCGUAACGCGUGGGAAUCUGCCUUUCGGUUCGGAAUAACUCAGGGAAACUUGAGCUAAUACCGGAUAACGUCGCAAGACCAAAGAUUUAUCACCGAAAGAUGAGCCCGCGUAGGAUUAGCUAGUUGGUGAGGUAAAGGCUCACCAAGGCGACGAUCCUUAGCUGGUCUGAGAGGAUGAUCAGCCACACUGGGACUGAGACACGGCCCAGACUCGUAGGGGAGGAAGCAGUGGGGAAUAUUGGACGAUGGGCGAGAGCCUGAUGCAGCAGUGCCGCGUGAGUGAUGAAGGCGUUAGGGUUGUAAAGCUCUUUUACCCGGGAAGAUAGUGACGGUACCGGGAGAAUAAGCCCCGGCUAACUACGUG